AAAUUGAAGAGUUUGAUCAUGGCUCAGAUUGAACGCUGGCGGCAGGCCUAACACAUGCAAGUCGAACGGUAACAGGAAGCAGCUUGCUGCUUUGCUGACGAGUGGCGGACGGGUGAGUAAUGUCUGGGAAACUGCCUGAUGGAGGGGGAUAACUACUGGAAACGGUAGCUAAUACCGCAUAACGUCGCAAGACCAAAGAGGGGGACCUUAGGGCCUCUUGCCAUCGGAUGUGCCCAGAUGGGAUUAGCUAGUAGGUGGGGUAACGGCUCACCUAGGCGACGAUCCCUAGCUGGUCUGAGAGGAUGACCAGCCACACUGGAACUGAGACACGGUCCAGACUCCUACGGGAGGCAGCAGUGGGGAAUAUUGCACAAUGGGCGCAAGCCUGAUGCAGCCAUGCCGCGUGUAUGAAGAAGGCCUUCGGGUUGUAAAGUACUUUCAGCGGGGAGGAAGGGAGUAAAGUUAAUACCUUUGCUCAUUGACGUUACCCGCAGAAGAAGCACCGGCUAACUCCGUGCCAGCAGCCGCGGUAAUACGGAGGGUGCGAGCGUUAAUCGGAAUUACUGGGCGUAAAGCGCACGCAGGCGGUUUGUUAAGUCAGAUGUGAAAUCCCCGGGCUCAACCUGGGAACUGCAUCUGAUACUGGCAAGCUUGAGUCUCGUAGAGGGGGGUAGAAUUCCAGGUGUAGCGGUGAAAUGCGUAGAGAUCUGGAGGAAUACCGGUGGCGAAGGCGGCCCCCUGGACGAAGACUGACGCUCAGGUGCGAAAGCGUGGGGAGCAAACAGGAUUAGAUACCCUGGUAGUCCACGCCGUAAACGAUGUCGACUUGGAGGUUGUGCCCUUGAGGCGUGGCUUCCGGAGCUAACGCGUUAAGUCGACCGCCUGGGGAGUACGGCCGCAAGGUUAAAACUCAAAUGAAUUGACGGGGGCCCGCACAAGCGGUGGAGCAUGUGGUUUAAUUCGAUGCAACGCGAAGAACCUUACCUGGUCUUGACAUCCACGGAAGUUUUCAGAGAUGAGAAUGUGCCUUCGGGAACCGUGAGACAGGUGCUGCAUGGCUGUCGUCAGCUCGUGUUGUGAAAUGUUGGGUUAAGUCCCGCAACGAGCGCAACCCUUAUCCUUUGUUGCCAGCGGUCCGGCCGGGAACUCAAAGGAGACUGCCAGUGAUAAACUGGAGGAAGGUGGGGAUGACGUCAAGUCAUCAUGGCCCUUACGACCAGGGCUACACACGUGCUACAAUGGCGCAUACAAAGAGAAGCGACCUCGCGAGAGCAAGCGGACCUCAUAAAGUGCGUCGUAGUCCGGAUUGGAGUCUGCAACUCGACUCCAUGAAGUCGGAAUCGCUAGUAAUCGUGGAUCAGAAUGCCACGGUGAAUACGUUCCCGGGCCUUGUACACACCGCCCGUCACACCAUGGGAGUGGGUUGCAAAAGAAGUAGGUAGCUUAACCUUCGGGAGGGCGCUUACCACUUUGUGAUUCAUGACUGGGGUGAAGUCGUAACAAGGUAACCGUAGGGGAACCUGCGGUUGGAUCACCUCCUUA
rnacentral:rRNA from 1 species